CCUACGGGAGGCAGCAGUGAGGAAUAUUGGUCAAUGGCCGGAAGGCUGAACCAGCCAUGCCGCGUGAAGGUCAGUGCCCUAUGGGCGUUAAACUUCUUUUGUGCGGGAGCAAUAAUGGUCACGUGUGGCCAGACGAGAGUACCGUACGAAUAAGCAUCGGCUAACUCCGUGCCAGCAGCCGCGGUAAUACGGGGGAUGCAAGCGUUAUCCGGAUUGAUGGGGUUUAAAGGGUGCUUAGGCUGUGAGGUAAGUCAGCGGUGAAAUGCCCCCGCUCAACGGGGUGAAGUGCCAUUGAUACUGCCUGGCUGGAAUGCGGAUGCCGUGGGAGGAAUGUGUGGUGUAGCGGUGAAAUGCAUAGAUAUCACACAGAACACCGAUUGCGAAGGCAUCUCACGAAUCCGCGAUUGACGCUGAUGCACGAAAGCGUGGGUAUCAAACAGGAUUAGAUACCCUUGUAGUC
rnacentral:rRNA from 1 species